GGCUGUAACUCAGUGGCAAGGCAUCUGCUCUGCAUGCAGAAGGUCUCAGGUUCAAUCGCUGGAAUCUCCA